rnacentral:lncRNA from 1 species
CCGACAUUCCUUGUGGGACCUCCUCCCAGGAAUGCCUGGAGACCUAAAAUCCUAUGUCCAGAGGAAAAGUUGAAGGCCUUGGAAAGGCGCCUCCAGCAUUGUUCCUCUGCAAACACAGGAAGAUGGGUUUCCUCUGGUUUUGUGAUGCUCUCAUCUGACCCCUCCCCCAGCCUCGGGGGGCGCUGCACAGAGGAGUAGGUGGUCAUGGAAAAUAAACACCCACCUCUGCUCUGCUGACUUAUUUCAUGUUCUUAGAAUUUCCUCUCUUGGAGUCUGGCGUUGUUAUUUUAAAAUUCCACAUGUCAGUGGGUUGGGGAUGGGAAAAUCCCUUACUGUUGUGGCUGUGAGGAGGCAGGCCCUCCACCUUGGGAGCUCAGGAUUGAUGCCCAGGAAGAGAAGUGGCCUGGCUAACAGACCCCAGUCUCCAAGUGAGCUCCUGAGUCAUCCUCUUGGGAAGGACCUCAGGCUGGGUGUGUGUACCUUUGCAUGAGUGUGUGCCAGUCCCACAGAGGGGACGUGGCAGGGUUUUAGUGCCAACUGUCUGGGCCCCAUCCAGACUAGAGCAGUAGUGAUGGCUCCAUUUGGGGGAACGGAGGAAACACACAAAAGGUCUUCUAGAGGAUGCUUAAAUUGAGCAGACACCCCUGGCCUGCUAUAGAAGCUGUAGGACCCAGGCUAUGGCCUUUUCUGGAUUGUCCACUCUGGUUUCUGCUUCUCUUCCUUCUCUCCUGAUCCCUGGUCACUCCUCAUGUGCUCUGUGCAAAGAUCCGCCUACAUGAGGAUUCAUGGAGUGUCCGAGACCUUCCUUGACCAGUUCUUCCAUUGGCUGACUCCAUGAACACUCUGGAGUGCCCAUGAGGCGUCAAGUAGAAUGCUGGAUGCUGGGAGCACACAGCCAAAAUGCGCAGAUUGAAAACAAGCUGGUCAUCCCAACAGAGCAGGCUCUCUGAGGGUUGGAUCGGCAAACAGAGCUAUAUGUCCAAGAAGAUGGAGCUGAGCCCUUGCAGGCUUUCUGGCUAUUUGCCCUUCACCCUUCACCUGUCCACACUGCCUCACGAUGACAUUUGUGAUGUCCUUGGUCUUUGGCAGACAAUACCUCUGAGUACGAGUGUCCAGGUAGUCCGUUCGUAUUGAGCUCAGCACCUGCUCUCAUGCCUCCUUCUAAUCACCAUUGCCUUUGACCACUUUAGAUGAGAGGUCCUUCUGCUGGGUUCAUUAAGUCCCUGGCCUGGUGUCAGCCACUUGGGAACUGCUCGAGGAAACAAAGUCUCUGAGCCCGUAUGUGGAGGCUGCCCCUUAGUACCUAGAUAGACAGCUGCGAGCCCUCCAUGAAGGUCAUCCCCUCUAAACUCUCUGUCUCCUUCCCACAGGAACUAUAGGGUUCAAUUGCUGUUGCCUUUAUGACUGUGACCUUGUAAGUUUGCUGUCAAGCCAACUGUUCUAGGAUUUCAGGGCAGCAGUGGGUACAGUACCUGUAGUGAAGCCCUAAUGGCCAGGUGACGGGGCCCAGGCAUGAGUGUCCACAGGAGCUGUGCUCCUCCAUGGUUGAGUUCCAUUUCCUUUCUUUCUUCCUUUCCUUUUUUUUUUUUUUUUUUUUUUUUUGACAGGGUUUCUCUGUGGCUUUGGAGGCUGGAAGUAGCUCUUGUACUGGUUGGUCUGGAAAUCACAGAGAUGCGCCUGCCUCUGCCUCCUAAGUGCUAGGACUAAAGGCGUGCACCACCACCGCCUGGCUCUGAGUUCCAUUUUCACCUGCUGGAGUCCCCAUGGGAUUGUUCUGAAGUAUAGAGUAUACAGGUGAGCUUCACUCUCUGUACUCAGCUCAGCAAUUGUCCAC